ensembl:snoRNA
UUGGCCCUGAAUCAAGGCUAGCAGUUUGCUGACGGUGUUGGUUUCAAGCAGGAGCCUACAGAAAUGUCUUUCUAUGGUCUGUUGGCCAUUUUAGAACUUUGACAAUGUAAUGGUCAAUUCAUUAGGAAGAAACAUAU